AUUGAACGCUGGCGGCAAGCUUAACACAUGCAAGUCGAGCGGGGGAAGGUAGCUUGCUACCGGACCUAGCGGCGGACGGGUGAGUAAUGCUUAGGAAUCUGCCUAUUAGUGGGGGACAACAUCUCGAAAGGGAUGCUAAUACCGCAUACGUCCUACGGGAGAAAGCAGGGGAUCUUCGGACUGUGCGCCAAUAGAUGCGCCCUAGGCGGAUUAGAUAGUUGGUGGGGUAAAGGCCUACCAAGGCGACGAUCUGUAGCGGGUCUGAGAGGAUGAUCCGCCACACUGGGACUGAGACACGGCCCAGACUCCUACGGGAGGCAGCAGUGGGGAAUAUUGGACAAUGGGGGGAACCCUGAUCCAGCCAUGCCGCGUGUGUGAAGAAGGCCUUAUGGUUGUAAUGCACUUUAAGCGAGGAGGAGGCUACUUUAGUUAAUACCUAGAGAUAGUGGACGUUACUCGCAGAAUAAGCACCGGCUAACUCUGUGCCAGCCGCCGCCGUAA
rnacentral:rRNA from 1 species